rfam:Subdoligranulum sp. 4_3_54A2FAA genomic scaffold supercont1.9, whole genome shotgun sequence.
ACAAUGAUACUCCCUUACAGCCACAGUCCGAGCGUUAAAAGCGUCACAGGCAAUGGGUAGGGCCGUGUGAGAACCACACGGGGGUGAAAAGCCCGUGG